rnacentral:rRNA from 1 species
CAGCAGCCACGGGAAUACGGAGGGUGCAAGCGUUAAUCGGAAUUACUGGGCGUAAAGCGCACGCAGGCGGUCUGACAAGUCAGAUGUGAAAUCCCCGGGCUUAACCUGGGAACUGCAUUUGAAACUGUCAGGCUGGAGUCUUGUAGAGGGGGGUAGAACUCCAGGUGUAGCGGUGAAAUGCGUAGAGAUCUGGAGGAAUACCGGUGGCGAAGGCGGCCCCCUGGACAAAGACUGACGCUCAGGUGCGAAAGCGUGGGGAGCAAACAGGAUUAGAUACCCGCGUAGUCCCUGUCUCUUAUAC